rnacentral:lncRNA from 1 species
CGCCAGCUGCUCCUUCCACAGCGUUUAGAAUCCCCUUUACCCGGCAGCGUGUACAGCAGUAGGGCACAACAACAGCCAAUAGGCACUGUACCUUUCCUUCGUACGUGGUCACGGCGGCAACAGCAUGGAGUUCAUUUAUUGAUGAAUCCCCAUCUUAUAUGCUUGCCCUUCUCUUUCGUAAUUAAUGAGCCCAAAAUUAACCUGCAUAUUUAACCCUAUGCACAAGGACAGUGGAUGAUCUGUGACAAAAACUGCAAUUAGGAUGGUUAAUUGGAGGCUCACCAACAUAUAUUGAUCUUAUCUUACGCUUGUGCAUUUUAGUUCUGCAGUGGCGGGUGUAAUUUAAGGCACGACAAGGGCCCUUGGCUACAUAAUUUUGUGUGUGCGUGUUAGUAGUGAUUUCAUGUAAUCGAUCCUGAGGGUUGAGUUCCAACAAUUGUUAGGUCUAAUCUUGAGUUUGUAGUCACAAGUGCAUGUACAGGUUGUGCUAGGACGUGUAGUCCAUGGUCUUGGGCUAAGUACGUGUCUAGUUUAGAUAGUUCUAGGAGUCCUGAGUCAUGCACGGGUACUAGUCCUUGCAGGAACAGGUUAGUAGGUGUCCGAGGUUAGUUUGGCUAGUUAGAGUCCGAGUAGGACUUGUGUCAUGUUGGUCAAGGCUGCGUGCAUAUAUAUAGACGUGAAGGUAUGUGGAUUUUGGAGUACCGUGACUUGAGAAAAAAGAGAAAAUAAAGAGGGAAAAUUAAGGCACGACAAGGGCCCUUGGCUACAUAAUUUUGUGUGUGCGUGUUAGUAGUGAUUUCAUGUAAUCGAUCAUGAGGGUUGAGUUCCAACAAUUGGUAUCUAGAGCAAGGUCGAGGUGAAGCUAUACUUGCCCCGGGGAGGUGACCCGACUAGCGCCUCGGGGCGGGCUAUAUGGUCACUGGGUGGUGCAGCGACGAGGAGCGGCGGGCAAUGGUCGUUCGUGGAGCGACGGAUGAAGAGGUUCAGGAGAUCGUCGUUCGGCGAAGCGGCAAGGAGGGACAGUGGUCGGUCGUCGGCAAGGCGGUGGAAGAAAAUCGUUGAUGGGAGCGAUGGUGCCGAGGUGCGGUGCCGAGAAGCCAUCAAGGUCAUCGUCCAAGGGAAUAGGAGUCAAGGAGUCGUGCGGGUUGGGACAUCUCGGUCGUCGUGUCAGUGAGUCGUCGGCGUCGUCAUGUCCAAGUGCUCGUCUUGGUGAUGAUUCGUUGGAGUUGAAGCGGUGUGCACGGUGUUCCGUGAGUCAUAUCCAUGUCCUCGUGGAGCGUCCUGGUUGCGGCCAGUAUGGAUUCGGUGUGAUGCCGAAGGUGGACGAUGGUAGGCGAAGCCAUCGUAAAGCGAGGAGGUGUGCGAGUAGUGGAGAGUGGAUCUACUACAAGCAAGUACAAAGAGUAUGGUGCGGACCGAGUGCAAGGCAGCGGCCAAGCAAUGGCGGUGGCACAACAUUGUAGAGCAAGGAGGUUCUACUUGUUUCCAGACGGGUCAUACUCAAUGUACGGAUACGACGGUUUAGUCGAUGUGUCGACAAGUCACGAGUCAACAACGAGUCAAGACAAGACGGAACACUAAGAAGAUGGCAUGUCAAGAUUAGGAAGAGAUUGUUAGGUAUAAUCUUGAGUUUGUAGUCACUAGUGCAUGUACAGGUUGUGCUAGGACGUGUAGUCCAUGGUCUUGGGCUAAGUACGUGUCUAGUUUAGAUAGUUCUAGGAGUCCUGAGUCAUGUACGGGUACUAGUCCUUGCAGGAACAGGUUAGUAGGUGUCCGAGGUUAGUUUGGCUAGUUAGAGUCCGAGUAGGACUUGUGUCAUGUUGGUCAAGGCUGCGUGCAUAUAUAUAGACGUGAAGGUAUGUGGAUUUUGGAGUACCGUGACUUGAGAAAAAAGAGAAAAUAAAGAGGGAAAAUUAAGGCACGACAAGGGCCCUUGGCUACAUAAUUUUGUGUGUGCGUGUUAGUAGUGAUUUCAUGUAAUCGAUCAUGAGGGUUGAGUUCCAACAAUUGGUAUCUAGAGCAAGGUCGAGGUGAAGCUAUGCUUGCCCCGGGGAGGUGACCCGACUAGCGCCUCGGGGCGGGCUAUAUGGUCACUGGGUGGUGCAGCGACGAGGAGCGGCGGGCAAUGGUCGUUCGUGGAGCGACGGAUGAAGAGGUUCAGGAGAUCGUCGUUCGGCGAAGCGGCAAGGAGGGACAGUGGUCGGUCGUCGGCAAGGCGGUGGAAGAAAAUCGUUGAUGGGAGCGAUGGUGCCGAGGUGCGGUGCCGAGAAGCCAUCAAGGUCAUCGUCCAAGGGAAUAGGAGUCAAGGAGUCGUGCGGGUUGGGACAUCUCGGUCGUCGUGUCAGUGAGUCGUCGGCGUCGUCAUGUCCAAGUGCUCGUCUUGGUGAUGAUUCGUUGGAGUUGAAGCGGUGUGCACGGUGUUCCGUGAGUCAUAUCCAUGUCCUCGUGGAGCGUCCUGGUUGCGGCCAGUAUGGAUUCGGUGUGAUGCCGAAGGUGGACGAUGGUAGGCGAAGCCAUCGUAAAGCGAGGAGGUGUGCGAGUAGUGGAGAGUGGAUCUACUACAAGCAAGUACAAAGAGUAUGGUGCGGACCGAGUGCAAGGCAGCGGCCAAGCAAUGGCGGUGGCACAACAUUGUAGAGCAAGGAGGUUCUACUUGUUUCCAGACGGGUCAUACUCAAUGUACGGAUACGACGGUUUAGUCGAUGUGUCGACAAGUCACGAGUCAACAACGAGUCAAGACAAGACGGAACACUAAGAAGAUGGCAUGUCAAGAUUAGGAAGAGAUUGUUAGGUAUAAUCUUGAGUUUGUAGUCACUAGUGCAUGUACAGGUUGUGCUAGGACGUGUAGUCCAUGGUCUUGGGCUAAGUACGUGUCUAGUUUAGAUAGUUCUAGGAGUCCUGAGUCAUGUACGGGUACUAGUCCUUGCAGGAACAGGUUAGUAGGUGUCCGAGGUUAGUUUGGCUAGUUAGAGUCCGAGUAGGACUUGUGUCAUGUUGGUCAAGGCUGCGUGCAUAUAUAUAGACGUGAAGGUAUGUGGAUUUUGGAGUACCGUGACUUGAGAAAAAAGAGAAAAUAAAGAGGGAAAAUUAAGGCACGACAAGGGCCCUUGGCUACAUAAUUUUGUGUGUGCGUGUUAGUAGUGAUUUCAUGUAAUCGAUCCUGAGGGUUGAGUUCCAACAGUAAUGCUUAAACCUUUUAAAUAAUAGAGCUUCCCAUUUUAGAAAAUAUGGCAACGGAAAAAAUGCACUAUACAAAAUAGUGUCGACCCUUAAAAUAUGUUCCUAACAUUUUUAGAAAGACAAUUCUCUACAUAGUAUAGCGUGCUAUUAAUGACGCUAUAGCAUUGCUAUUUUUGCCCUAGUUAUAUAUAUGAUGGUAAGUAUGAGGAACUUAGUUAGAGUUAUGUAUAGACAGAUACUUAUUCAUAUAGCAGUAGCACAUGGACAGAGUUGUAGCUACCGCAAGAGGCUUACCAUCAUAUGUGCAAUAAAGGAGUAGUAGUGUUAUUAAUUCAUAUAUCUACCUCACAGACUAGUUAUGAGAAAGGACACAAACCCUUGGCUACAGAUAUAUCAUAUAUAUACCUCCUCCUUCUGCCAGCAGCGAUAGGUUCGCUCGCACACAUUCAUAGUUUUCACUGAGAUAUGAUGCUUUUAUCUUAUCCCAGUUUUUUUUUGCCUCCCAAUUAAUUAAGAUAGGCAUUGAAGGUUUCUGGAAGUCUCCGAAAACGGUAGACUGAUGGCGCAGUAUCCAUCUCUCUAGCCUACAUCGUAAUACGGCGCAAUAUACUGCUUAGCGGCCACUACACUCUGUAUUUUUUGGUAAUCAUGAGCCAUCAUGGUGUGUCGUCAUCAGCAAAGCUAAUUAGCCUAUCUUGUGCUAGCGACAAUAAACGUAACCAAAUUUUUAAUUUCGAGAAAGCAUAAAUACAUGCAUACAAGAUUAUUGCUCUAGGACUGAGAAAUCGAGCAUCUUAUAUAUCUUUGCAGGUUUUGCUCGUCCAUAGAUACAAUAUCUUCAAUUUGAUUUUGGUUGUCUGUCAAUUUGAACCAAAUCAUUGGACCAUUAACCUGAAUUUUGUACGUCGUCUAUUUUAUUAUGUGGACAUGGACCGUGGGUAGAUGAUGAUUAAUGGCGAUGGCAGUCAGGAACAGGAACUAGAGGGUCACAACAUAGCUCCCUUUUAUGUUAAUUGUGCCCUUGUGGUGGUAAUUGGGAACACCUUAGCUAGAGAGUCUCUCAGAGUGAGAAAUACUAAGUACAUAUAGCAGUAGCAGGUAGAUAGAGUUAUACCAUUCCAAUAAAUCAUAACUAAUUAUAUGAUUGACGCACAAACAAAAUUACUUGUUAUAAAAAAAUACAUGUGGUUGAGCAACCAAAGAGUCAAGGCCACAUAGACGCUUGAACAAUUCAGGAUCUCAUAUGUCAACUAUACGUUGAUUUCAACAAAUAUGUCAUGAUUGAUAAAUAUAAGAGUCUUGCACCACAUCAUGCAUUAAAAAUAGUUAUUCAUUACCAAAUGUUAUGACCCGUUGCAAGAACUUGAACUCUAUGCACUUAAAUGACCAUAUAUAGAUCCCAUUGUUUCACCUUAACUAUAAAGAGUUUCUACUAACUUAAAUGAGCCAGUCUGUGUCUAGCUAUCUAACAUCGGCAAUCAUUACCUAGUUUAUCCAUCUCACUUUUGCGUAUUCUUAGCAUGCCUAUCUACCAUAAAUAGUAGCACUACUAAAAAAAGGCUAUAGCUAAUAUAUAUGGAC